UGUCUACUUUGAAAAUUGAUGAACGUGAAGAAAGUGGCCAUGUGGAGCUUUUCUGCUUUGUGCGGAAACAUGAUACAUGCAGACACACAGUGCAGUGGCUGUAUGAGGGUGAAAAUGUGCAUGAAGGCCUGCACAUGUCAAAGGGAGGCUGCCGGAGUGAUGCAAGAUUUUCUAUUUCUAAUCUUGAGCUGAAGUCAUCAUAUCAUAAGAUGUUUAAGUGUGAAGUGAUAGAUGGUUACACUCAAGAAAAGCAUCUGUUUACCUUCAGCCCUCAGUCCUCAGGUGACGACACAACAACAGCAAAAACAGAAGUAACAAUGAGAACAACUGUAAACAGCCAGAAACCAGGGACGAACUCAGCAACACCAG